GGGGAUAAGCUCAAAUUUUAAAUCUGCUAGGUUAACCUAGCCGAGUUGUAAUUUGAAGAAGCGUUUUCCGCGUCUCGAUUGGUCCAAGUCCUUUGGGAUAGGGCAUCAUAGAGGGUUAGAAUCCCGUUCGG
rnacentral:rRNA from 1 species